UAAGCACCUAAACCCAAAACUGCUGUUUCUCAUAGCAGUAGUUUAAACAGGUGCUGACAACAAGUGAACCUUGUCGCCUUUGGGGGCUGUGGCUGUGCCCCUCAAAGUGAAUUAGGAGGUUCUACAUUC